rnacentral:rRNA from 1 species
UGUUUCGGCUAGGGGGCCAUCCCUGCUUACCAUCCCGAUGCUAACUGCGAUUACCGGAGAAUGUUAUCACGGGUGACACACGGCGGGUGCUAACGUCCGUCGUGAAGAGGGAAACAACCCAGACCGCCAGCUAAGGUCCCAAAGUCAUGGUUAAGUGGGAAACGAUGUGGGAAGGCCCAGACAGCCAGGAUGUUGGCUUAGAAGCAGCCAUCAUUUAAAGAAAGCGUAAUAGCUCACUGGUCGAGUCGGCCUGCGCGGAAGAUGUAACGGGGCUAAACCAUGCACCGAAGCUGCGGCAGCGACACUGUGUGUUGUUGGGUAGGGGAGCGUUCUG